rnacentral:ribozyme from 1 species
GGCAGUGCUGUAGCAAUACGAGGGUAUAUCCAAAGCCUCUAGAAGAUUAACAUAGGCUCUCCACCUCCUACUCCUACUCAAUACGUUCCCGUCGUACAGAACGGUAACAUGUCUAUCAAUUAUCCAAUUAUCCAAGGAAACCCAAUCCCUUGCGAGGAUGGAUUGCAUGGUAAUAUUGAUAGGG